rnacentral:rRNA from 1 species
GACGAACGCUGGCGGCGUGCCUAAUACAUGCAAGUUGAGCGAUGAAGAUUGGUGCUUGCACCAAUUUGAAGAGCAGCGAACGGGUGAGUAACGCGUGGGGAAUCUGCCUUUGAGCGGGGGACAACAUUUGGAAACGAAUGCUAAUACCGCAUAAUAACUUUAAACAUAAGUUUUAAGUUUGAAAGAUGCAAUUGCAUCACUCAAAGAUGAUCCCGCGUUGUAUUAGCUAGUUGGUGAGGUAAAGGCUCACCAAGGCGAUGAUACAUAGCCGACCUGAGAGGGUGAUCGGCCACAUUGGGACUGAGACACGGCCCAAACUCCUACGUGAGGCAGCAGUAGGGAAUCUUCGGCAAUGGACGAAAGUCUGACCGAGCAACGCCGCGGGAGGGAAGAAGGGUUUCGGAUCGUAAAACUCUGUUGGUAGAGAAGAACGUUGGUGAGAGUGGAAAGCUCAUCAAGUGACGGUAACUACCCAGAAAGGGACGGCUAACUACGUG